CAGUGGAACUCCAUGUGUAGCGGUGAAAUGCGUAGAUAUAUGGAAGAACACCAGUGGCGAAGGCGGCUGUCUGGUCUGUAACUGACGCUGAGGCUCGAAAGUAUGGGUAGCAAACAGGAUUAGAUACCCUGGUAGUCCAUACCGUAAACGAUGAAUGCUAAGUGUUGGAGGGUUUCCCCCUUCAGUGCUGCAGCUAACGCAUUAAGCAUUCCGCCUGGGGAGUACGGCCGCAAGGCUGAAACUCAAAGGAAUUGACGGGGGCCCGCACAAGCGGUGGAGCAUGUGGUUUAAUUCGAAGCUACGCGAAGAACCUUACCAGGUCUUGACAUACUAUGCAAAUCUAAGAGAUUAGACGUUCCCUUCGGGGACAUGGAUACAGGUGGUGCAUGGUUGUCGUCAGCUCGUGUCGUGAGAUGUUGGGUUAAGUCCCGCAACGAGCGCAACCCUUAUUAUCAGUUGCCAGCAUUAAGUUGGGCACUCUGGUGAGACUGCCGGUGACAAACCGGAGGAAGGUGGGGAUGACGUCAAAUCAUCAUGCCCCUUAUGACCUGGGCUACACACGUGCUACAAUGGAUGGUACAACGAGUUGCGAACUCGCGAGAGUAAGCUAAUCUCUUAAAGCCAUUCUCAGUUCGGAUUGUAGGCUGCAACUCGCCUACAUGAAGUCGGAAUCGCUAGUAAUCGCGGAUCAGCAUGCCGCGGUGAAUACGUUCCCGGGCCUUGUACACACCGCCCGUCACACCAUGAGAGUUUGUAACACCCAAAGUCGGUGGGGUAACCUUUAGGAACCAGCCGCCUAAGGUGGGACAGAUGAUUAGGGUGAAGUCGUAACAAGGUAACCAAGGGCGAA
rnacentral:rRNA from 1 species